CAAUAGCGUAUAUUAAAGUUGUUGCGGUAAAAAAGCUCGUAGUUGGAUUUCUACCGAAGAUAGCCGGUCGGGUCUUCGACCUUGUAUCUGGUUUUGUCUUUGGUAUCCUCAUAGGGAACGUUUCUGCGCUUUAUUGCGUGGUGCGGUAUCUAUGACUUUUACUUUGAGGAAAUUAGAGUGUUCACGGCAGGCAAACGCCUUGAAUAUAUUAGCAUGGAAUAAUAACAUAGGAUCUUCGUCCUAUUUUGUUGGUUUCUAGGGCUAAGAUAAUGAUUAAUAGGGAUAAUUGGGGGCAUCUGUAUCAACGCGUCAGAGGUGGAAUUCUUGGAUUGCGUUGCGACAAACUACUGCGAAAGCACUUGCCAAGGAUGUUUUCAUUGA
rnacentral:rRNA from 1 species